UGACAUGGAAACUGCUCUUCUAAUUUGUCUGUUUCUCUUUUUAUUGUGUCUGGCAAGUGUGGAUCUAUUUCUUAAGCUGUCAGCUGCAUUAUGAUGCAGAAUUGUUUUUAUACACGCACUGCAUCUUUAAUCGGCAAUAUCUUUCCAGUUCUAUUUAGCUGUUUGCUUUCUUGUUCAACUUAUUCAUUUGUGCUAUUGUUUGUUUGAAUUGAAUUAUACUUACAACACAAUCAUAUUUAUUAAAAGUCUGGGGAACAAUUUUAAAUUUAUUUCACAAUUGUAUGCAUAUUUAUUAGCCAAUUUCAAUACUUGGAUACGGAGUCGAACAGCAUCAAUUUUGUUAAGAAAUAUCAAGAUUUUAAUUUAAAUGGCACAAUUAUCUGAAUUCAAACCCAUGAAUUAAUUUUCUUAAGUGUCCGGUACACAGCUUUCAUAACUGCUUUAAGUGUUCUUAAUGUCUUCAGUAUGUUUUUCGCCUAACUUUAAAGGCUAGCAUUGCUACCACCACACCAAGCAUACAAUAAUGUGCACUUAGUGCUUGUAUCAGAUGCUCGUUUAAAGGGGCCUUUUCACAGAUUUUGGCAUGUUUUGAAGUUUGUUAUUAAAUGCUUUAUAUUGAUAAAUGUUAACAUUGGGUCUAAAAAUCUCCAGUAAAAAACAAGAAUACAAAUUAAAAAAAAAUUUAAGUAACCCUCAACGGGGCUCGAACCACUGACCCCCUGGAGCCAUGGAGCAAAAGUCUACCGCUCUAUCCACUAGGUCAUCCACUCUCCUGACAUGCCCAGCAUAUUUUUCACGUUAUAUAUGCAAUCCUCGUAGUAUCAAAAAAUACAACGACAACAACAGAAUUCUCCAAAUGUUUCAAUAGUUUCGCGUUGCAACGCUUUAUAAUUUUCAGGUUUUUAAAUCGUCAAUAGAUGCACAUAAUGGAUAUUUUAGAGCAUGGUAAAUGUUCAGUAUUACCGUUUCCUCACAUAUAUCAUAACUUCAAGGAAAAUUUGUGAAUCUGAAACAAUUUUUUUCAAUUUGGUCAAUUUACCAAAGUUUGAAAAGGCCCCUUUAAAGCAUUUGUAAGUAGCAUUCUGGAACAAUUUGCAUAGAUGUACUUGUGAGCCUUGUUCUGGGAAAUCUGGUCUUAACACAUGUGUGUUAAGUGUCAUCCCAUAUCAGUCUGUUCAUGGAUGACACUUUUCACCUAGACAGGACUUAAUGCAUGUGUGUUAAGUGUCAUCCCAUAUCAGUCUGUUCAGGGAUGACACUUUUCACCUAGACAGGACUUAAUGCAUGUGUGUUAAGUGUCAUCCCAUAUCAGUCUGUUCAGGGAUGACACUUUUCACCUAGACAGGACUUAAUGCAUGUGUGUUAAGUGUCAUCCCAUAUCAGCCUGUUCAGGGAUGACACUUUCCACCUAGACAGGACUUAAUGCAUGUGUGUUAAGUGUCAUCCCAUAUCAGUCUGUUCAGGGAUGACACUUUUCACCUAGACAGGACUUAAUGCAUGUGUGUUAAGUGUCAUCCCA